AUUCUGUGAAGUGUGUCCCCCACGUUAGUAUAUGGCGUCAUUCUAAACCACAUAAACCAAGUGUUCAACGGUAUUCCAAAUCUAUCCAAAAGGAUCAAUGCUCCCCUAUCGUCGCACAAAGUCCUAAAUGAUCUGAAACGCAUAAAAAAAAAGAUGUAACCACAAAGAGGCACACAGGGAGAGUAUGUGACGUUCACGAAACCAUUUACCAGCCAGCCCAGUUUGAGCUGUAGAACUAAAACAGUAUAUAAAUGGACUGGUACAAACUUUGAAAGACAUUCAUUGGCA